UGACACUGGACGAACAGCAGGCUGGAGCUCAACUCUGCAGGACACCGACCCUCCAGGACCGAGCUCGGACAGCCCUGCAAAUUGUGCGAGUUUUGUUGUGAAAACCUGGCAACCCUUUACGUCGAGCAGAACUCACAAGUUAAAUUUCCAAAAGAGGGCAGUUUCCCAGAUGAUAUCAAAGAAUGCUUCGCAUCACCCCUCUGGAUCACAUUCUGCCCAUAUUAGAGUUUAGGCAUUUCUAAAAAACUCUCAUCGGCGUCGGCUGCUGCAGGGUUUGUGGGAUUGAGGGAUGAUCUCGACAAGAACCUCGACAUCUCAUGUCACGGUAACGGUAUUUCCAGAUAUUUACUUAUUUCCAGAGGAUGCUUUUUAUUUGCUUCAAAGGCAAACAUGAAUGAAAUGAAAGCAUGUGCUUAGUAUGAAAAAAAAAUAAAAAAGUGACUCAGAUUGUGUGAUAUUUGUUUUAUGACCCCUUAAUGGAUACCCAGAAGGUGUGGGCGAUUGCAGAAAUACUCCCCAGCUAUCUACCUCUGACCUUUAAGAAGGGUACAAUUUAAAGAUGAGAACAUUUCAGUAGGUGGGGGGCUUUCUCCACUGGAUUGUUUUUCAGGAUUGAGACAAAAGCAAAUUGUUCAUCUCAGAAGACAAGUCACGAUAUGGAAAUUGUGCCGUUAAGUAUUUGUGAUCAAACAUUCACUCUAAAACUCUAAAAGAUCACUCGAAGACCACCCACCUGGGGGCAGCCGCUACUAAAUACAGAUCAAAACAGGUUUAGAUCACAUUUUUGUGUUUUUUAGAGUUGUCUGUGGGCUUCUAAACACCAAACGUUUUGUUGUGGCACUUAUGAACCAUUUUUACUCAAUAGAAGUUGACAUGAUCAUACAAGUACCAUACUGUUGAUAAUAAAUGUGUCACGUGACACGUCAGCAUAUUGUUCAAACACAAAAUAGCUGCUUCAUGUGCUGUGCAAGGGAGAAGGACUAUAUUUGAAAUCAUGCCUUACAAGAUGUUAAAACUUUAUAAAAACAAAACCUUUGAAGUUAGGCACUUACUUGAUUGAUCCUACCACCACGAUUCUUGCACAGAUGAUGCCAACAGAAACGCAUGGUCUGUAGAUGAAAGUGAUGAUUAUACUGAAGAGAAAAAAAGAAACUGAUCUGAGCAAUAUAGUUUACUGUACAUGUAAGAAAGGAGUCACGCUUUAACCUUUGCUUGAUAUUUGUGGUCUCACUAAAGGAACGCUACAAACUGAAGUAAACAUUUUGACAUGCAUAACAUCAUUAUCAUAUUAUAACAUAACAUACUUAUCACAUUAUAGUCCUGCACGUCCGCUGCGUUCUCAAAACUCUGGCCAUUUGAUAAUACCUAGAACAUCAAAAUCAACUGCGGACGGCAGGUGAUUACCUGGAUAUAAUAUGGAUACUUAUCUUUCAAAAACUCUGGAUUUGCUACAGGGGGUCUUUGUUCACUCCCCGGAGCCGCGUGUGGCACGUUUUAUUACAGAUACGCAGACUUUAUUUCACAGCAAACACCUGUUUGUCUCCAUGGAAAGGCUUGGAGGGGCCACUUAGACUGGAUUUGUCUGAAAGAAAAAAAAAGGAUGCCUCGAAGGCGAGUAAAAGACAAGCUAAUUUUCUAACCCUGUGAUUCAUGCAAAAUACUAACGCUGAUGCAUUCGGACUAAUGCAGCUUGAUAUUUAGCUUUGUUUAAAAAACAGAACAAUAUAAAUAAUGAAUAGAGUUACAUAGAUACAUCUGAAAGACAUAAUAUGAAAACUAUUUGUUUUUUUGUUGUAGGGAUGCCAUAAUGGGAUUCAGGCUGAAUGAGUUUGGACAGUUGGACAACUCCUAAUUCAUAAAAUUAGUAAAGUAUUAGUAUAGCUCCAUGACUUCAUCAUGCCCUUUGGCGCAAAUUAAAACAACGCUGGUUUCCAUACAACUGUAAUGUGUUACAAUAUCCACCAAUGGCCUAGUAACAAAUAAAUCUAAAAAUGUUAGCAUCCAGCAUAAAAUAGAUUCACAGUGCCUCAAAUACUAUACAACUGAAUAUGACAUUUUCACAAAAGUCAAAUUGA